AGUGAACGCUGGCGGUAGGCCUAACACAUGCAAGUCGAACGGCAGCACAGUAAGAGCUUGCUCUUACGGGUGGCGAGUGGCGGACGGGUGAGGAAUACAUCGGAAUCUACUUUUUCGUGGGGGAUAACGUAGGGAAACUUACGCUAAUACCGCAUACGACCUACGGGUGAAAGCAGGGGAUCUUCGGACCUUGCGCGAUUGAAUGAGCCGAUGUCGGAUUAGCUAGUUGGCGGGGUAAAGGCCCACCAAGGCGACGAUCCGUAGCUGGUCUGAGAGGAUGAUCAGCCACACUGGAACGUAGACACGGUCCAGACCCCUACGGGAGGCAGCAGUGGGGAAUAUUGGACAAUGGGCGCAAGCCUGAUCCAGCCAUACCGCGUGGGUGAAGAAGGCCUUCGGGUUGUAAAGCCCUUUUGUUGGGAAAGAAAAGCAGCAGGUUAAUACCCCGCUGUUCUGACGGUACCCAAAGAAUAAGCACCGGCUAACUUCGUG
rnacentral:rRNA from 1 species